rnacentral:sRNA from 1 species
GAGAUGAUACUACUCCUGAACCAGAAUAAGACUGUAUUUAAUUGUUUCAAGUUUAACAUAAUUAUGUAUGUGUACCACAACAAGAACAUAUAACGUACAUGUAGGUACACUUGAAGGAAUACUCCCAUUCAAUAACAUGUUUCGUACAUCUAUAGCUUAUAAUACAUGUAAUAUGUGCGUUUUUAUAAACCGAAGUUAUUUUAUCGGUAUUUCGGCAAAUGGUGUCGUAAGAAAUACGAUAUAUUCCAAAUUCGUGUCUGAUAGAUAAUAAUGGAUUCUCAUUUUUUAAAUAAAUAAGUUUUAAUCCGUAAUAAGCAAGCUUCUAAUUAUAUAAUCAAUGUAAACAUAAAUAUGUUAAAUACUAUGGACAAUGGAGCAGAUUACACUGGUUUCGAUCUACACGUUUCAGCGAAACUUUACAACUUUAGAGAAAAACCAAAAAUUAAAUAAAUUUGAACGAUCUAGUUGUCUCGUUAGAGCAUCAAAAACAAUUGGCCUGAGAUGCAUUCUGCCAACUCCAACCCAGUAUCAAGAAGGGAAUCAACUACUAACGGGAAAAAUCGUAGCUUCUCGGGCCUUUCCGGCAGAGCUCGGAAAAUGCCCGAAAGUUGCGACUGCUGACGGGAAUUGUUUUCUGUUAUAGACAAUUCGAUCUUUUUUCUAUUUCGUUGUGUUACAAGGUAAAUUCCAUUAUAUGUCUGACUAUGUCUAUGUUAAAUUCUUAUGAAUUUUUUAUUUAUUAUAUUGACUUAUUGUGCAAGUGGCAGUUUAAUUUUAUCAUUUUUUUUUUAUAUAUUAAGUCUUAAUAUAUGUUGUGUCAACUUGUUAAAUGGUGAUGAUGACGAUCAAUUAAAUAAAAUUGAUCAAAACUG